rnacentral:rRNA from 1 species
CGCAUCUGUGCAUGCAGCAUAUCAAUAAGCGGAGGAAAGAAACUAACAAGGAUUCCCCUAGUAACGGCGAGUGAAGCGGGAAGAGCUCAAAUUUGAAAUCUUAAAGGGUUUCCCUUUACGAAUUGUAGUUUAAAGAAGUGUUUUCUGUUGAGGUUUUGGUAAAAGUUCUUUGGAAUAGGACAUCAUAGAGGGUGAGAAUCCCGUAUUUGACCUUUACUUUCAACUUUGUGAUACACUUUCAAAGAGUCGGAUUGUUUGGGAAUGCAGUCCAAAAUGGGUGGUAAAUUUCAUCUAAAGCUAAAUAUUGGCGAGAGACCGAUAGCGAACAAGUACCGUGAGGGAAAGAUGAAAAGAACUUUGAAAAGAGAGUUAAACAGUACGUGAAAUUGUCAAAAGGGAAGCGUUUGACACCAGUGUUGUUUUUCUGAAAAUCAAUUAAAGAACUGUUUAUGCUAAGCUGUUUAGACUUUAUCAGCUAACUGUUUAGUUUGAGCUUUUCUUUAAUGCACUUUUCAGUUAACAAGUCAACAUCAAUUUCUUUUGCUGUAAAAAAGCUUGAGGAAGGUGGCUUGAGAUUCGUCUUAAGUGUUUAUAGCCUCUUGCCUAUGCAGUCGGAGAGAUUGAGGUCUGCAGCGUAGAUCCUUCGGGGCUAAAUGCAUUUGUGCUAAGUUAUAGCAUUUUAUAGACAACUUGUUGACUAUGAUUUGUCUUGUAGCUUACUCGCUUAUGUUAUUUUACCUACGCUUAGGAUGUUGAAUCUGUGCGAGACUAC